rnacentral:lncRNA from 1 species
UUAAGACAUUUAUUUAUAGAUUAUAUAUGUUAUAUUAUAUAAAGUAAAUAAAAUAAGUAAAGUUAAAAAUAAGAAAACUUAAAGAAUUAGUGUCAUCUUCUUCUUCUUUUAAUUUUAACAUUGAACCAUCAUGGGAGAAAUUGGGAAGCUUCAGCUUUGAUAUUUCCAUUGCAUGUAAGUGAGUUUUUCACUCAUUUUUUUGUAGAUUUUAUAUUUUUGAGACCGUUACAAGUAAGUACAGCUAACAUGUAUCUCCGUUUUUAAAACUGUUAAAGAUUUUGGAUUUUUCCAUUAAUGAAUUUUAGUUGUGUUGAGAAUUUAAUUGAUGGAUUCUUGAGUUUUAUAGCUAGAUAUAAGUAUUUUGUUAAGUGAUUUUUAGUAAUUUCAAUGUUUAGGGAUUAAAUUGUUUAAAUAGUAAAAUUCAAUGAAAAUAGUGUGAAAUGAUAAGAAAUAGGGGCUGUAAUGGACCCUUAGGAAAAUUGGCUAGCAUAGUUUUUCAUUAAAUGUGAUUAAUUUGUGUGUUUCGGAUUUAGGGACUAAAUUGCAUAAAAGGUAAAAGUUUUGGGUAAAAGUUUAAAAUGAUGAUUAAAGGUCAAAUAUAUGAAUUUUAAUAUUUUAUAAUAUUUUAAUUGGUUAAUUGAAUAAAUUUAUUAUAUUUAAAUCAAGAAACGAGCUAACCUGACAUUAAUUGUGGGAAAGUUAAGUUAAAGGAGAAAUUGUCGGUGUUGUGUUUGUAACUAUUUUUAAUUAGGUAAGUUUGUAAAUUGAUUAAAUUAAUUAUUUGUUAUUUUUGUGACUUAAUAUAUAUAUUUAUGUUUUUAUUCAAUUUAACUACUUGAGAUUGAUAUGUGAUGAGUUGGACUAAGUUAUGAUGAUAUUUAAGUUGAGUAUUGUGUUUGGAAAAUGUGAAAUACAUGGAUGUGAGUUUGAAAUGGUAUAAUGGAAAUGAAGUUAAAUGAUUAGGAUAUGAAAUGUGUCACAUUUGAACCAUGUGAGUACUUAGGAUACAAAUGACAUGUCAUUAGGAGGUUAUUUACAGUUUCGGGUGCUGGUCUUGGAUGUCCUACUGAUGGUUGAGGUCCUGUAUUUGUUGUGGAUUCUCAGCAGCAUCGUGUAGCUUAAUAUCUCGGCCUAUAGCUUGUGUGAGCAGGCCCAUUUCACAGCUCAUGUGAGCAUAUACUAUUACAUGUUACAGUCACAAAUUGUGUGAGCAGUUCCCGAGUAUCCGAUGUUAUUUCAUUUGGUUCAACAGGUAGUAAAAGUUUAAACGAAUAUGCACAUAUAUAAAAUGUUAUAUGGUCAAGACCUGUGAAUUGGAAAAUGUUGAUAUAAAUACUUGGAAUGGGAAGCUAUGUUUAUCAAACACAUGAUGAUAUAAUAUGUACUUGUUAUGUUAUUAUUACAUGUUCCAUUAUUGUUGGAAUUAUAUGUUUCUUUGCAAUACCUAUUAACCUUGUAAGGUUGUGUUGUAUAGAAAAGAAAUGUAAGUAUAAGAUUUAAUGAAUGAAUGUGUUAAAUUUUAAAUAAAUAUGUGAUGGUUGAUUAUGCACCAAAUGAGUUUUUAGGUAUAUGUUUGAUGGCAUGAUAAAGUUACAUGUUUUAUAUAUAAACUUACUAAUCUUGUGAGACUUGUGAUGUGUCUAGGAAAUUAACGAACUCAUGACCAGGGCAUAAAAUUAUCUUGUAAAAUGUUUUAUUACAUCGUUUUUGGUACGUCAAAGUUUAAGUUUAUCACAAACUUACUAAGCUUUAUGCAAACUUACCUCGUUUUGAUUUUUCUUCUUUGUAGAUUGUUGGAUUUGAGCUGUCAAUUAGAUUACUUUUGGAGAUCACACUAUUUGUUCAAUGAUUUGGUGUAAGAUGUGAUUAUUUUUUAUUUAGUUUAUAAGUGGCAUGUUCUAAGAGCAUAUAAGUUCUUUUGCUAUAAUGAUGUAACCUUAGUUUAAGCAUAUAUGUGUAUAGAUUUAGCUUGUAUAUGUCCAUAUAUGUAUGUCUUUAGUUGUUUGGUAUAUGCUUAUUGGAUGUGUCUGAAAUAUGGUAAGAUUGAAUGUGAAUGGAAUGGUUGAAUUGGUAAAAAUGUUUAGGUAAUUUGAUAAAUCUUGGUUGAUAAUUUUGGUCAUAGUAAAUGAGGUAAAUUUGAUAGUUGAAGAAGUAUGAAAUGCUAAGUAGUUGCACUUGAAUGGAUUAUGUUUCAAUGUUUGAAUUGUGGUGCCAAGUGAUGGCAUAUUGUUUAGGCAUAUAAGAUGAAUGAUUUUGGCAUGUUUUAGGUAUGUUUGAAUGUGUUUUAACCAAGUGAAAGUGAUUGGAAAAGGUUUGGUUUGGUGACCAAGAAAUGGAUAUUGAAUUGCUUGUAUUAGAGGUCAUUUUGGGUGCACGCGACCUGGGACACAGGCUGUCACACGGCUACGUGCCACACACGACCACCUCAUACGGCCAUGUGUCUUAUUAAUUUUAGGUGCAGGAUUUUUUAUAUGGUUACAUUCAGUUACACAAUCUGAGCACACAGGCGUGUGGAAUAGCCACACGGGCUGGCCUUUGUCACACAGCUGUGUGACCCCUGUUUUUAGUUUUUUUUUACAUUUUUCUAUUUUGUUCAAAUUAAUUCUUGUUUGUUUGCGAAUGUUUCUAAAAUCCCA